rnacentral:rRNA from 1 species
UACAGAGGUCUCAAGCGUUGUUCGGAUUCAUUGGGCGUAAAGGGUGCGUAGGUGGCGCGCUAAGUCAGGUGUGAAAUUUCGGAGCUUAACUCCGAAACUGCAUUUGAUACUGGCGUGCUUGAGGACUGGAGAGGAGACUGGAAUCAUGGUGUAGCAGUGAAAUGCGUAGAGAUCAUGAGGAAGACCAGUGGCGAAGGCGGGUCUCUGGACAGUUCCUGACACUGAGGCACGAAGGCCAGGGGGAGCAAACGGGG